rnacentral:rRNA from 1 species
ACUCAAAGGAAUAGACGGGGGCCCGCACAAGCGGCGGAGCAUGUGGAUUAAUUCGAUGCAACGCGAAGAACCUUACCUGGGUUUGACAUGCACAGGACGCGUCUAGAGAUGGGCGUUCCCUUGUGGCCUGUGUGCAGGUGGUGCAUGGCUGUCGUCAGCUCGUGUCGUGAGAUGUUGGGUUAAGUCCCGCAACGAGCGCAACCCUUGUUCCAUGUUGCCAGCGCGUGAUGGCGGGGACUCAUGGGAGACUGCCGGGGUCAACUCGGAGGAAGGUGGGGAUGACGUCAAGUCAUCAUGCCCCUUAUGUCCAGGGCUUCACACAUGCUACAAUGGCCGGUACAAAGGGCUGCGAUGCCGUGAGGUUAAGCGAAUCCUAGAAAAGCCGGUCUCAGUUCGGAUCGGGGUCUGCAACUCGACCCCGUGAAGUCGGAGUCGCUAGUAAUCGCAGAUCAGCAACGCUGCGGUGAAUACGUUCCCGGGCCUUGUACACACCGCCCGU